rnacentral:rRNA from 1 species
CGCCUUCUGACCUAUAAACAUAGAAGGUCCUGCCUGCCCAGUGACCCUGUUCAACGGCCGCGGUAUCAUGACCGUGCAAAGGUAGCGUAAUCACUUGUCUUUUAAAUAAAGACCAGUAUGAACGGCUAAACGAGGGCCUAACUGUCUCCCUAAGCCAGUCAGUGAAAUUGAUCUUCCCGUGCAGAAGCGGGAGUAAGAAUAUAAGACGAGAAGACCCUGUGGAGCUUACAAAUCAAAGCUACAACACUAUGUGUACUCGAUUUUUGGUUGGGGCGACCGUGAGGCAAAAUAAACCCUCAAGACCUAAAUAGAAGGACACUUCAAACUAAGGACACCAACGCAUUGACCCAAUACUUGACCAACGAACCAAGUUACCCCAGGGAUAACAGCGCAAUCCUCUCACAGAGCCCCUAUCGACGAGCGGGUUUACGACCUCGAUGUUGGAUCAGGACCCCCAAGCGGCGCAGCAGCUGUCUAAAGGUUCGUUUGUUCAACGAUUAAAGUCCU